ACGGGGGAUUGCCUUAGUACGGCGAGUGAAGCGGCAAAAGCUCAAAUUUGAAAUCUGGUACCUUCGGUGCCCGAGUUGUAAUUUGGAGAGGGCAACUUUGGGGCCGUUCCUUGUCUAUGUUCCUUGGAACAGGACGUCAUAGAGGGUGAGAAUCCCGUGUGGCGAGGAGUGCGGUUCUUUGUAAAGUGCCUUCGAAGAGUCGAGUUGUUUGGGAAUGCAGCUCUAAGUGGGUGGUAAAUUCCAUCUAAAGCUAAAUAUUGGCGAGAGACCGAUAGCGAACAAGUACAGUGAUGGAAAGAUGAAAAGAACUUUGAAAAGAGAGUGAAAAAGUACGUGAAAUUGUUGAAAGGGAAGGGCAUUUGAUCAGACAUGGUGUUUUGUGCCCUCUGCUCCUUGUGGGUAGGGGAAUCUCGCAUUUCACUGGGCCAGCAUCAGUUUUGGUGGCAGGAUAAAUCCAUAGGAAUGUAGCUUGCCUCGGUAAGUAUUAUAGCCUGUGGGAAUACUGCCAGCUGGGACUGAGGACUGCGACGUAAGUCAAGGAUGCUGGCAUAAUGGUUAUAUGCCGCCCGUCUUGAACCCCCGAAACAAA
rnacentral:rRNA from 1 species